rnacentral:tRNA from 1 species
GGGGGCAUAGCUCAGUUGGGAGAGCGCGUCCUUGGCGUGGACGAGGUCGGGGGUUCGACUCCCCCUGCCUCCACCA